GUGACCUCGAGGCAGCCUCAGCACGGCACUCUCUUGGGUCCUCUUCCAGGCUCACACUGGGCGACAGCGGAGAGGCUCUUGGACGGGGCAGAGCUCGCGCCGAGACCUGCAUGUCCGCGUCUUGUGACGGGUGUGUGGGAAGCCGCCCGCCUGUGCAUCUUGCUUCCGGGUAUUCGCUGGCUGAUUUACUGGUUUUAGAGAUGGGGAUGGGCACCCAGUGCUGGACUGAAGACCAGAGAAGGUGGAGCUCCCUGUGGCCUUGGUCUCACCUCUCUUCAGACCCAAGCCUGCCCAAUGUGCAGGUGACCAGGCUGACACUCCUGUCGGAACAGGCUCCGG
rnacentral:lncRNA from 1 species